UACAGAGGGUGCAAGCGUUGUUCGGAAUUAUUGGGCGUAAAGCGCGUGUAGGCGGCUUUGCAAGUCGGGUGUGAAAGCCCUCAGCUCAACUGAGGAAGUGCGCCCGAAACUGCAGAGCUUGAGUGCCGGAGAGGGUGGCGGAAUUCCCCAAGUAGAGGUGAAAUUCGUAGAUAUGGGGAGGAACACCGGUGGCGAAGGCGGCCACCUGGACGGUAACUGACGCUGAGACG
rnacentral:rRNA from 1 species